rnacentral:lncRNA from 1 species
CGCCUUCACGCAAUCAAGUUACCGACACCGGUUCAUGCUUGAUCCGCCACCAUGUUCAUACGUUCCAUGUUGUCUGCACGACAUCACGCUUCUACGUUACUUCAUUUACAGGCACACCGCAUGCCCGCUCCGGCGAUGGAUCAUGCCAACUCAAACGAUUGCCACAUGACCCAACAAGAAACGAUGUAACGCCCGAGACAUACAUAUAUGUCAUUCCACCACGGUACACCGGCACACAUAGGCCUUAAGCUUUUCCCUAACUCAAUACAUCUCCCAAAUAUAUAAAUAUCAACCUCAUAUACAAUAACCCCAAUCAAUACAAUCAACACAUUUAAUCCUCAAACAUCAUCCAACCAUAUUUUAACAACCUUAGCAAUAGAUCUAUGUCCUUCACACAUAAAGCAUCAAGAUAUAUAUAUAUAUAUAUCAUAUGAAUAUUUAUUUGUAUUAAUAGAUCUAUAGAAAGUAACAAGUAGGGAUGAAUGAUCAACCUAGACACUUCUACCAUGAUGAGAUAAGGAUAGAAGGAGAUAGAGAUUGCAACAAGCCCUCACCUUGGCCUUAGAUCUGAGAAUGGAAAAGAGAGUAGAACCAGAUCUGAAGCUUAUGGCCUUCCACGAACCAGAUCUACAGCAAAAAGGAUUGGUGCUACCACCAAAGAAUCCGGGAUGAGAGAUCCAAGAUAAAAGAGAACAAAGAGAUGGAGGAAACGAGAACUAGGGUUCCUUACCUCACCAGCGACCAGAUCUAGAAAGAAGACAAGGAGAGAUCUGGACAUAGAAUUGGAUCGGUUCAUCGGGGAUCUCCAACGGCUUGGCUCCAACCUUCAGCAAAUGGCGAACACCAAGGAGAGAGAGAGAGAGAGACGCAGGCGAGAGAGAACGAGAGAGAAGAAAAGAGAAACCUUGACGGCUAGGGUUUUCAGAUCUCUCUGGAACUCUGCAAGGCUUCGCUCUGAUUUCUAAUGGGAGAGAAGAGAAGGAGGAGACUCCUUUUUAUAGGAAAAGAAGAGGAAACCUUAGGGUUUACUACAUGGACAAAACGAUGUAACGCCCGAGACAUACAUAUAUGUCAUUCCACCACGGUACACCGGCACACAUAGGCCUUAAGCUUUUCCCUAACUCAAUACAUCUCCCAAAUAUAUAAAUAUCAACCUCAUAUACAAUAACCCCAAUCAAUACAAUCAUCACAUUCAAUCCUCAAACAUCAUCCAACCAUAUUUUAACAACCUUAGCAAUAGAUCUAUGUCUUUCACACAUCAAGCAUCAAGAUAUAUAUAUAUA